UCGCCUGGUCUCUCCGACCACACCCGCCGUAUCUAGGCCUGCCCCCUUACUUCCCUAUAUAAACCUCUAGCCGUCCAAACAAUGUCAGACAUUGCUGGACGGCAGAGGUACUAGUGACAUGUCUGGUGGCUACACUGAGCGCUUGUCUCUUGUAAGUACUCCCUUACUCUGGAUCCUUUUAUUUAUCACUUUUUGCAUUGGUUCCCUCCUUCCUUAUCUAAUGCCUGUUUCUAUUGCCAUCCAUUGUAUUCACAGAUUGGAGCUCUGCUAGCUCUCUACGGACACCUCUGGCCAAAUUUAAUAUGACACUUUUCUGCUAACCUCAGGUAUGCAGUUAUUUAAUUACAUAUUUUUCUACAUAUGGUUAGGUAUUUCAUUACAUGUAUAUUUAUCCUGUCCCUUUUUUUAUGGACAGGUUUUUACAUUAUCAUAUGUUACUUUGUGACUAUAUGGGCCUGAGGUCUUGCUAUAUGUGAUUCUGCACCGCCGGCUUCCUUCCUCUUAAUUUCAUCCAGAGGAGUCUUUCUGCAUCCUGAUAGUGGUGUCCUUUCUCUGGGGUGUGCAGGGUUGAUUAAACGCUGUGAUUGAAAAGUGGUUCUUAUACUCGUUGACUACAUAUACUUCGGCCCCUGAUGAAGGGUAAUCCGAAACGCGUAGGGCCGUGUAUGUCUUCAUGGACCUUGCUUUUCAAUGACACCUAACCAUGUAUUGUUUUUAAAUAAUUCUAUGUGAUAUAUGUGUACAAUUUCCAUUUUUGAAUAUUAAAUUAUCUAUUUUUUGGAUUA